UUAGGAGCCUGCAGGUAAAUACGCAGAAUCUAACGUGGAAAGACACGUUGUAUGCGUUCCACGUACCGUGCUUCGGUUGCGUAUCCUACGCGGUGAAUACGGUCGUGGGCAUCCACAGGCAGAGUUGUCCGAUUACGACACGCGUAGCGCUCUUGUCUAUAAAUUCGCCAUGACUUCUAGAUUCAGCAUCAUUUGACGGCCGAAAAGCUACUCAGAUAAAACAUGGUCAGCACCAAGACUCUCCUUGUCAGCCUCCUCGUCCUGGCCCUGGUCUUCACAAUCGCCACGGCACAGUUCGGAGACUUCGGUGGCGGUCGACGCCAUGGUGGUGGACGCGGCGGUGGCGGACGCGGUGGUGGUGGACGCGGUGGCGGUGGACGCGGUGGAGGCGGACGUGGUGGUGGCGGACGCGGUGGAGGCGGGCGUGGAUUUGACGGCUUCCAUGGUUGAUUCCAGCCUGCCACACUGACGCGUCAUUCUGUGGUGUACAGCGUCGAAGCUGAGUGGCCAACCAAAUACUGUGAUUUGAAAGACGCCUGCGAGAUCCGGCUGGUCCUGUGAUCGCUGACCUUUCAGAUGGUGAUGUACCUCUGUUGAACAUGAACUCGCAUAAACAUUGCCUUCAUUAACUGGCACCCACGAGUUUGCUGUCAUAUGCGUGCUCACUUUUUUAUCUCAUGGUGCAGUGCAGUGGCUCCUUGCGCUGACUAACUGAAUACGUUCUGUGGACAGGUUUGUUCUGCGAGACGUUCAUUCUGUGGGACAUGCUUUUUUCAUGGUUCCCUAUGGGUUCUUAAUAAAUCGUUCCCUGAUCGUGGUUAAUCAUUUGAAAAGAGAAAAAAAAAUAUUACACAUUGACAAAUAUAGUCAACGUGUUUAGGGAGAAAAUAAUAUGUUCGAUAUGCAGAGAUAGAUGGUGCAGGAUGGAAGGACAUUUACACCAGUGUUUACACCCAUCAUAAAUUUUAGGAACGCUUCUCAGUUAAUCCCGAGCCAGUCUCUUUCAGGUAAUUGAAGCAGAAGACACUACAUGAAUUACUUCCUCCUGUCUCCGUCUUCAUAUUUUGUAAAGAUCCAGGAUGGAAGAAGCGAUCCGAAGUCACCUACCAUUUCGUUUUCUUAUGCACAUAUCUGAAACGACGUGAAAAUGACGUGUGGCUUUAAUCUAGGCGAGAGAAAAUAGUGGCGCAGGAACGCACAUGUGUGACUGCGCACAGACGUUUCCUGGUUCGUUCAGAGGAAUUGUGCACACUAUGCGAGUUAAAAAUCUCCGCCGAGCCCGGUUUGCUCUGUGAAAUCUAAGCUCAGCGAAGAAUUCGCUAUGUGAGGUACCGCUGUAGAAAUGAAGCACCUGCUUCCAGUAUUAAAGGCUAUAGGUUGCGAUGUCUGUCCAAGUGACUACAUUUUUAGUGCCUCUUUCUAGCACAACAGCUGUCGAGGUUGGCUGGGUUCAAGCUAUACCCGGUGAAACAACCUAUAUAAACUAGUAUCAAAAUGAAAUUCCUGUCCAGAACAAAUAUUCGCCACUUUGGUGCACCAUUAAACCUUCAACUGCCUCCCACAUGAACCUUAGGUAAUUAUCGUUCGCUCGGGGAGACUUUCUUCGUUCGUUAGGCGUGAACUAGCUAAUGAUGAUUGUUUUACCUCAUGGGACCUUGGUUCCCUUCUAUUCCUUUUCCUACAUUAGCCACAACACCUUCCGUUCUUGUUCGCCUCCGCCUGCUUGAAUGGUCUCCUCGCGUAGCGCUUUUUUUGAUAAGGCCUACUUGAGAAACUCGCACUAUCAUCAUCGUCGAGUUGUAUAAGCACAUCAUGAUAGUACCGCCUUACGCGGGGAUCUGCAACUUAUCCUGCCCUUGUCAGGAUUGGGGGCUCAAUCCCAUCGUCCGUGGUCCUUUGCCAAGAUUGGAGUACGGCAUGAAUUCGAAGGUAGCUGGCCCAUGCCGUCGUCCAACUUAUUUACGCUGAGAUCGUUGAUGAAGUGAAGAACUGUUUCUCAUCGAGAACGAGGAAAAAGGGUUUAUUUACAGAAAUUAACUCAGUCUAACAUGACUGCUUGAGAAAAAGAGUAACAGUCCAACAUGACUGCAUGAGAGAAGUGACUCAGUCUAACAUGACUGCUCAAGAGAAGUGUCCUCAGCAUUCGCACAACCACAGUUUUUAUACACUCGAUCCGCCGGUCCUACGACGCGGCGACUGUUCGUUUACUCAUCACCAACGCGCCGUUGCUCUGCAGAACAGUUUACGUACACAAAGGCAACCGCGCUCUGAUGCCCGACGACGGUGUUGGCGGGUGCCGUUCCGGGAACUAUCGUUGCCGCUCGAGGGUCGCUCGUUGUUCCGUGCCACUCCGAACCGUGAGAAGCACAAAAAUACGUCGUUCCCCGGCAGCUUGUCCAUGCGUGUCAAAUCAGCUCCGCGUUGGGGAACUCCGGAAUCAUUGUUCACGCACCGAACUAGUUCCGUCACAAUGUCGAAGGGGCUGGAGGAAGGCGGCGGAUUCCAACGCAAAGGCCGCUUCUUUGAACGCCUCCCAGCUGCAGCGACGGAGAGGGAGAGGUGCGCGUCUUGCAUCCCUUGUCGUAAUCGGGUGGCAAGGUGGCAAUCUUGCUUAGCGGCUCGCCAUUCUUAACACCCUGUGUUGUGAAUUCAUUUUGUACUGAAAUCAGUUCAGAUCAUUACUCUGCUUAAUUCUUACAAGUAACUGAUGCCGCAUGCUGUGCGAUAGUACCUCAAGUGAUGGACAUCAUCAGGCGUGAUAACAUAUUGGCUAAUUUUCUUCAUAUAUGAAUCACUAUAAACAACUAAUUGUUUUCUACCGCAUGUGUGGUCUAGCCGUUGAUAAAAGAGAGCCGCAUCGAAAUGCCCUUUGUAGUGGAUCAGCUAACGUAGAAAAGCGUGCACGGAUAUCUGGUUUAUUUACAGCCCUGCCUCAAGCGAAUUACACUUGUCAACGAUGUACAUAGUCAGUAACUGUCAGAGCGGUGGGUACAGCAGCUUACUCGGCCAGCCUGCCAUCAGAGGGUCAUAUGGAACAGAGUAGAACUUCGCGUGGUCACAAAUAAUUUAGAUAUCGCGGUUGCGGGAACGGCAGUCCAAUUUAUGUACCGGUCGAACAAGCAGCGUUGAAGGAGGAUCCGUAGAUGAGGCUGACGAGAAAUCGGACAUGAAUGCUGAACGUUGCAUUUUAUUGCGAUAGCAAUUAUAUUGACACACCAAACGCAUUUUUGCGGUCGAUCUCGCCAUGAGGUUCCGCAUUAAGUCCAAGGCGAUAAAAUCAUCGCCGCUGUCCGAGUGAAAGCGCGCCAGGGUGAGCCGGCGAUCGCAGCACUAUCUCGCGCUCGCAAUCGAGGUAAGCGGCGAGGAAACGCGCAGUCUUCCGUCUCGCGAGGCUCCCGAGGGAGAGUUGGGAGGGGAGGGGGUUCUACUCCGGGCGGCCCUGGCGCGGCCGCGCGCGCUCACCAGUGCCGCUGUAUCUGGCAAGCCAUCUGCUACACGGACACAGUCCGCCCCGCACUGUGUUUUCGCUGCUUAGUUCACAGUGAUGCGAGACGCAGCGCGAAGGGCAUUUUGCUGCUUCCGCACUUUCUCGCUCCAGCGUUUUGACAGCGUGCUUCCGCGGUCAUCGUGCAGUGUGACACCGUGCUUGUUAACUUAAUUAGUAUGCCUAUGUUUACUAGCUUACACGGCGUAUAAAACUACUAUCCUUACUUCGUAUAGCUGUCCAGUGAUUUGCUAUCGCAAUCGAUUCUGCGCCUUUCGUACGGAACUGUGACUUUUCUAGCGAGAUGCACAAGUGUGCGAACUGCUUGACAUUGAACUUGCUACUUAAAUCUCUAGCCCUCCAUCAAGGCCGCCGAGUAGCCGACGUAGCGAAAAAUUGCUGCACAUGUAUCGCUGACCCGAUGUUCCAGCCUGGCACAUCUAUCCCCGUUGUCAUUUAUGGCUACUGAGAUCCGCGUGUAGAUGCCCCUUUCUCCGUGGAAGAGCUGUAAGCCGCAUAUUCUGGGUUCGGGCGUUUUUCGUCACCUGGGACAGCCCUCAAGAACAUUGAAGAACGAAAAUAAUAAACGUUCCCUAUAAGGAUCCAACUUAGUACCUAGGCUACAGGGACAAGGCAGCCCUCGACAUCACACAGCUGUCUCUAGCUCGCCGGAUACUUAGCAGACCGCUGGUGCAGCAAACAUCUUGAUCAAAAUACAGGCCUAAUGCGAGCUAUUCAUGACUGUUCUGUCUAGACUGCUGGCUUGUUCGCUUUGAAAUAUUUCUUAUUGGACACAUUUUAAUACAGCGGUCGAGCGUAUUACUUGCCUCUAUAGGCUCCGCUUACUGCAGCUUAUAAAAUAACGUGUAGAAUUUGUUGUAACAGAAGUGUGACACGUCGUGUAGUGUAAAGGUAAAACUAUAGGCUACGAGUGAAAGAAGGCAUGUGCAAUGUUUCACCGUUUUAAAGGGACCCUGAAACGCUUUUGACGAUUUUCUACAAACGUACUGAGUCGUUAGAGUAGGUCCUUCUGAUCAUUAAUUGACACAUCUAAGUGCUCUGCGUAAAGCGUGGAAUUUAUUAUAAGGUUCUAAAAAUGCACAUCACUGCCGAUCGCAGCGCACUGCUCCGCGGAAUUUUAAGCCGCCCCUACCCAUAUGACCGAAAUCACCCAUAUGACGUCAGUGGGGCGAGCUAUCCGAUUGGCUGACCAGGGCGCGUGAUCGAUAAUUUUUCCAACUUUAUGGUAAACAAAUGAUCUUCGUAAUAGUUGGAAUGUUAGUUAAUUUGUUUUUAUAAAGAGAAAGUAGCAGAAAGAGAAUGUACAAGAACAAUUUUUCAGUACACUUAAGCACUUCCGGCAAACAGCAAGUGUCGUCUGCUUGUGUUACAACGUACUCCAUUUUGACGAGAGCUCCGCGGUCAGAGUUGGUCUCAGUCUUUUCGCGAGCACUAUGAUUCGACUUUGUUGCCUUGUGGACUGCAAACGUAGCGACUGGCAAUAUGUCAAGCUACGACAUCGUGUCCCUCUGCAGGGCAGCGUACGAGCGAACUGGCUGCUGCGCAUCGGACUGCCGCUAUCCGAUCGGCGCCAGGAUUUGCACGUUUGUGGCCGUCACUUUACACCGGAAGAUUACUAACGCACUAGCGUUAUUAGGGCAAACGUAAGCGCAAGGGGACAGGGUCUGGCCGCUUGACUGUGCCGUAACGGGAUGAGCCGAGAUGAGCAGAAGGGCAAAGGUGAAUGGUCUGCACGGUGCAGCCACCUGGUGGCAUAGAGCUCAACCAUACACAGUAGCAGCUACGAAGCGUAUUCUUUUUUGCUGCUGGUGCGUAUUUUUCGCUGGAGUGUAAUCAACACGUUGUUUUUAUAAAUGUUUAAAAUGCUCUACACUUGGUUAGAGCAAUAUUAGCGCUUUGUUUGGCUGGUUAAGCGCUGCGUCAACAAGUGUCUGGACCGUGCAGACCGAUCAGGCCACUCACGUACGUCUGCGCCAAAGUUCCUUCAUCAGCUUGAGUUUAUGCCUCCAGUCAUUUGCCGAUAUGACCAGCCUGCCUGUGGCUAACGGAAUACCAGACACGUUCGGCGCUACGACAGAAUGCUCGCAACGCACGCUGCUUCGAUAGCUCUCGCUUGGGGUCGACAGCCAAGCGGCUAGCGGAGAGGUUUCGCGCGGGCGGGGGCGGGCUUCAAAACAACCGGAAGUGGACGAUGUGACGUCGCAUCGUGACGCAGGACCAGUGAAGGCGGAGCUUAGCCCCGCUCGCUCGGCGAACGAGUUGAGGAGGAAAAGCAUGGCUGGGGAGGAGGGUAACUUCUAAUCGCUUGUAGCUCCAUUAAUACGUAACGCUUCACUUAAAUUGUGGUGCGAAUGUUCUACUUAAGCUGUACCCUACGCGUCUACAAAAUUUGUCCGAACCGUUUCAGGGGCCCUUUAACGACAGAUGGUACUGUGGUUCCGUUCACGCAUUACCUACUCUUUCUUCUAGCCAACGAAAGAGGACAAAGUUGACAAGUGUUCCGAUUUAUUCUGAGCUAGACAACCAAUAAUGCUUGCAAACAUGGCACUAAAAUGCAUAAAUCACGAAAUGCUUUAUUUGUUUGAAAUUUGACCGCGAAUGAAAAAGCAGUUUAGUAAAAAGGGCGACGUACAGUAGGCACUCAUUUAAGCAACAUAGUGCGUAAGUUUGGCUAAGCCACCUUGAUUUCGCUGCAAAAGAUACAGACAGGAACCGGUGAAUAAACAUUUUUAUUUGCAGCGCAAUGUGGGCCAUAACUGCGCGUAGACAAUUUCCUUGCAGCGGCAUCACACGCGCAGACGUAGCGUGCCGGACGUGAAAAAGCAUUCUGCGUUUUUGACCUCCGACACUCAUGCAAUACACUUCGCGGGUAUACUUAGGCGUGCUCCGUACUUACGUAAAUGUGAUCGGGUCCUUUGUCAGGUAAGCGACGUAACCUACGAGAUCUCUCCGGUCGCACCUACUACUCGCUCCAUCCAGAUGUCCCAUGGCUGCUGCAUUCAUGUCAGCCGCCUAAAACGCUACGAGUCCUUUUUUGUCUAAAAAUCGAAGGAACGGCGCUUGCACGCCGGGUGGAAAUAUGUUGCACAAUCCUGCACAACACUGAGGAAGAUAAGUACGAGCAUGAGAUUGAAGAAGACAACGCUUCAGUGACUAGCCUACUGUAGACUUGUCUUUGUCAAUUAUUUUAAAUUACUGUAUAUUCUGUGAACAAAAAAUUAAAUUAUAUUAUGGGAGUUUUGCGUGCCAAACCACGAUCUGAUUAUGAGGUGGACGAUAGUGGGGGACUCCUGAAAAUUUCGACCACCUGGGCAUCUCUAACGUACACCUACAUCUAAGUACACGGGUGCUUUCGCAUUAUGCCCUCAUCUAAAUACGGCUGCCAUACUGCAAAUACGUUACCCGCCUUGCUACAUCCCUCAGCAACAAUAUUAUUGUUGGGAAGAAAGUAUAUAAGAAGAAGAAUAUUAUUGGGAAGUUAGGUUCGAUUCUAAAUCGAACCUAACGGGAAGCUUUAGUUCCUACAUGGGAAAUGAGCAACACUUUCUUCUGACAACCACUGCACUGAAAUUAAUUAGUUAUGUCGAACUUAAACGAAACAGUUAAAAUGCGAUUUCAGAAAACGAAUUUUCAUUUAGCUUCUAUUUUUUUCAUAAAUUCUGAAAAAUUCGACAUUUUUUUAGAAACAAUACUUGAAGCAUACAACUCAGUAUCUCAGCAACUAAACACGAUAUCGCAAUUCUGUAGGCUGCACCUAAUAUUUCAUUUAAUGCGGACAAAAAUUAUAUAUCAUAAGCCAUCCUGAAAUGGCACCACUAACUCCUUAAUGUGACAUUUGCAAAACCUUUACAAGCAUGUAACAACUUCACAUAAGUCGUAAAUUCAUACAAUAAAUUUGUCCGAUUGAGAUGCCCCAACGCAUGCAGUUCAUAAAGAUGCGAUAUCAGUUUUUGAUGCUAACAAACGGAAUUGUAAACUUCGUACUUCUUUGAGAUUCACUGAUUUCCGACAAUUCUUGUCAAUAAUGUCAUGGCCUAAACCAAAUUAUUAUUGUGGCGAUCACUGUCAUUUAAGGUUAUCUCUUAAACGCAACACGUUCUCUCUCAAAUGCAACAAUUCUUAUUCAGAUCAGUGUAGCGAUUUUCUCAUAAAUUCGUAAACGCGCUUUACAUGUAUUUGAGCAGCCGGCAUCGAAGAUAGGGCCGAACUAAAGCUUUCUCUUAAGAGGAAGCUUUAGCUCGGGUGCUCCUAUCUAAAUACAUGUAAAAGCAGAAUUCGUUUUUCUCGGCAACCACUGCACCGAAUUUGACGAGGUUUGUUGCAUUUAAAGGGAAACCUUAAAAUAUAGGGUGCGUUGGCUUCGAAUUUCAGCUUUAAGUCUUCAAUUUCUCAUUAAAAAUUGGCGAAAAUUGAAAACUUUUAGAUAACGAAACUAUCAAGUUUGCAACUAUGUAACUCGGCACUGAAAAAGGAUAUCACAAUUCUGUGGAUUACAUCUAAUAGGGCAUCUAAAGCGGACAAAAUCGAUAUGUCACACAUGAAUCUCAAAAAAUGAAUAAUAUGGAAAUACAGCUUUUGCAGAACCCUUGUACACCCCGUAAGAAAUUCACGUAAGAUAUAAAAUGACACACUCAAUGUGUCCUCUUUUAUUGACCUAAUGGGUGCCGUUUACAGAACAACGAUAUCUAUUCUUGAUGCAGAGCUAUAAAUUUGUAAACUUCGUGCUUCUAUUAUUUUCAAACUUGCGAAUUUUUUUUGAAGAUGUUUUUAAACGACAUUCCGCUUCCAGCAGUCACUAGAAUUUGAUUUUCUCUCAAAUGCAACAAAUUUCAUUAAAAUCGGUCCAAGGGUUAUCUCAGAAAAAGGUUUUUGCGUUUUACAUGUAUUCUAAAAGGCCGUGUCAGAGUUGGGCCCGAGCUAAAGCUUCCUCUUGAAGGUGCACACCGCCUCUAUAUAAAAAAAAAAACCACGAAACAUAACGCUGGUUAUACGGAAGCCCGCGGCCCCAGUGGUGCAGAAAUAAUACGAAAAAAGAAUGAAGAAAGCAAACCUACCGGAAGCUUUGCGGGGGCCGUUAUCUUGGCCAGACAUCUGGAAUGCCGACGAGCUGUCUGGCAAGGCGUCUAGCAAAAUCGUCGAUUCAUUGCCAAUCGGGCAAGAAGUAGGUCGUCUUCAAGAUAAGGCUGACACAUAAGCGCGCUCGUUUCCACGUACGGAGGUGAAGCAACAGUCUCAGGGUGUGCUCCGCUUUAUUGUGUUUUCUUUAGAUGCGCGCCAUGGCUUCCGUUAUGACGAGAAUUUCAAAUGUUCAAGGCCGAUACACCACGCGUUGGCGAAAAAGGAAACUGAACGUAUGUCAAGAAUUCCUGGGUAUGUAUGGUCCGAUGUACGACUUUAGAAAAGGUAAUGCACAUUUAGCGUCAAAUCUUUAGAAGAACAUUAAACCAGCAAAGAUGCGGAAUUGAAAAUGUGAAGCACGACUUUGGAAAUGUCAGUGCACCUUUCGCAUCAAAAGUUUAUGUGAUCGUUAUACCCAUAAAGUUUCGGAACACUGCAAGGCCGAACGGAUCAUGCGUGCUAGGCAACAUAGCUAGAUAUCUUACCUUAUCAUCCUCACGCUGUUCUUCGCUGUUCUUUUUUUCAGAUAAAGGCAGAAAAAGCGAACGUAUCAGCCGGUGUAUGUACUGCCGUAUCGUAAUCUAAUUCAAAUUCGAUUAGUGUCUUCAUAACGGAGCACAGCAAGCAGUACAUGGGUUGCUUUCAAUUGUGCCGUGUCGGCUGCGUUGGCUUCUUCACCGCUUUGUAAGAGGCCUCAUGCCCACUUGCUGACUUCUAUCCACCGAAGUUCUGCUACAUCUUUAGUCUGCCCUUUCUGUCACGGAUACCAUGCACGAACUCAACAGGGCUGCUGGUAUGUUCGUGAACCAUCUCCUGCGUGGGCGGGGUGCCAGACGGUCCAGCGGCGGCAACGAUCAACGGUCCCAUUGCCAAGACGCCGGGGACCAGAUUGGGAUACCCAUGACGCCAAUCAGUUUUGCGCCGCCGCCAUAUUCGGAGCCUCCCCCGUACCGGGAGGUAGUGCUCGCCGCCAACGCCGACGUUCCUUUCACUGAAGAGGACGUGGAGCGUGCUGCAAGACACCUCGGUCACAUCCGCCAGUUACAGCGGGAGCGGUUCCCCGAACGUGAAGGCAGAUGGGUAGAUGAUACAGAUGAACAGGAGUCCCGGAGGUUCUAUGGUUGGGUCAGAUUAUAUCGGCGGUACUACAUGCAGUGGAAGCAGCGGUACGCCUACCUGUGCCUGACUGUGUGUGCCGUAGUUUUACUGCUGGGCAUCGUUGUGUUUGCGAUAGUGAAGUACUUUGUUUACGACGGCUUGUACGUUGUAAGGUAAGACUUUCCGGUGAGGCUGUCGCAUGAAUUCUAGAGAACCUCUGGCUGAACGAAGGGCGUGUUCACACACGUACUUGACGGGAAGUGCACGAUAGACAGAUGUGUUUUCUGCGUGUGAUAUGGUGCUGUCGCGCCGGAAGGAAGCGCGAAUAGUGCAGCACAGAUCACCUCUUCUGUUUAGUCCGUUGAAGUUGCGGUGAGCGACUGCGAUGCAACCAGGGCAAGAGCGCUAUGUAUAGCCCCAAAACUGUCCUCGAAUCUCUAACACUAACGUCCCGCAUACUAGUGGAAAACGAGGUAUGGCUUCGAGCUGCUUUGCUCGUGUUUGCACUUCAUUCUGGCGUAACUGUACGACGCGGGAUGAUGAACUUUUUCGUUUUAUUUCAAUCAUACAAAAAGAAUGAUGGUCGUGGCACGACGUAACCAAGUUUUUAUGCAUGCCUUCAGAUCACGUCUCCCCAGUAUACGGUGUUUAUUUUGGCAGCAUUUCACACCUCGGUAUACUUUUCCGGAGCAUUGACUCGCCACAUUUUUCAUAUCUCAGUUUUAUCGUAUCCUGAAUUUUAUUCCGCCGUUAAGAUGCGUUUUAUACAGUCAAGCUCAUUUUAAGCGGAUCUGUGAAUACCACACAAGUCAAAUAAACAGUUCGAAGUGUU